CCUACGGGAGGCAGCAGUGAGGAAUAUUGGUCAAUGGACGAGAGUCUGAACCCGCGAAGUAGCGUGAAGGAUGACUGCCCUCUGGGUUGUAAACUUCUUUUAUAUGGGAAUAAAAUGUUCCAUGUGUGGGAUUUUGUAUGUACCAUAUGAUUAAGGAUCGGCUAAUUACGUGCCAGCAGCCGGGGUAAUACGGAGGAUCCGAGCGUUAUCCGGAUUUCUUGGGUUUAAAUGGAGCGUAGGUGGAUUGUUAAGUCAGUUGUGAACGUUUGCGGCUCAACCGUAAAAUUGCAGUUGAAACUGGCAGUCUUGAGUACAGGAGAGGUGGGCGGAAUUCGUGGUGUAGCGGUGAAAUGCUUAGAUAUCACGAAGAACUCCGAUUGCGAAGGCAGCUCACUGGACUGCAACUGACACUGUGGCGCGAAAGUGUGGGUAUCAAACAGGAUUAGAUACCCUAGUAGUC
rnacentral:rRNA from 1 species